rnacentral:rRNA from 1 species
UAUCUCUGUAGAGUCUGCAUAUCAAUAAGCGGAGGAAAAGAAACUAACAAGGAUUCCCCUAGUAACGGCGAGUGAAGCGGGAAGAGCUCAAGUUUGAAAUCUUCAAGGUUUGACCUUGACGAAUUGUAGUUUAAAGAAGUGUUUUCGGUUAGAGGAGUAGUAAAAGUUCUUUGGAAUAGGACAUCAUAGAGGGUGAGAAUCCCGUAUUUGACUAUUCUUUCUAGCUUUGUGAUACACUUUCAAAGAGUCGGAUUGUUUGGGAAUGCAGUCCAAAAUAGGGUGGUAAAUUUCAUCUAAAGCUAAAUAUUGGCGAGAGACCGAUAGCGAACAAGUACCGUGAGGGAAAGAUGAAAAGAACUUUGAAAAGAGAGUUAAACAGUACGUGAAAUUGUCAAAAGGGAAGCGUUUGACACCAGUGUUGUUUUUCCGAAAAUCAAUUAAAAAUUGAUUCAUGCCAGGUUGUAUUGACCUUAUCAGCUUGCAAUUUGGUUUUGGGUCUCUUUUUGAUGCACUUUUCGGUUAACAAGUCAACAUCAAUUUCCUUUGCUGUAAAAAGGUAAGAGGAAGGUGGCUUCAAUUUCGGUUGAAGUGUUUAUAGCCUUUUAUCUCUGCAGUCGGGGAGAUUGAGGUCUGUAGCGUAGAUCCUUCGGGGCUAGAUACAUUUAUGCUAAGUUAUAGCUUUUCAUAGACAACUUGUUGACUAUGUUUAGUCAUGUAGGCUUACUCGUAAGUGCUAUUUUACCUACGCUUAGGAUGUUGAAGACUCUACAGAGAUA